GGGCGAAAGCCUGACGGAGCAACGCCGCGUGAAUGGUGAAGGUCUUCGGAUCGUAAAACUCUGUUAUUAGGGAAGAACAAAUGUGUAAGUAACUAUGCACGUCUUGACGGUACCUAAUCAGAAAGCCACGGCUAACUACGUGCCAGCAGCCGCGGUAAUACGUAGGUGGCAAGCGUUAUCCGGAAUUAUUGGGCGUAAAGCGCGCGUAGGCGGUUUUUUAAGUCUGAUGUGAAAGCCCACGGCUCAACCGUGGAGGGUCAUUGGAAACUGGAAAACUUGAGUGCAGAAGAGGAAAGUGGAAUUCCAUGUGUAGCGGUGAAAUGCGCAGAGAUAUGGAGGAACACCAGUGGCGAAGGCGACUUUCUGGUCUGUAACUGACGCUGAUGUGCGAAAGCGUGGGGAUCAAACAGGAUUAGAUACCCUGGUAGUCCACGCCGUAAACGAUGAGUGCUAAGUGUUAGGGGGUUUCCGCCCCUUAGUGCUGCAGCUAACGCAUUAAGCACUCCGCCUGGGGAGUACGACCGCAAGGUUGANACUCAAAGGAAUUGACNGGGACCCGCACAAGCNGUGGAGCAUGUGGUNUAAUUCGAAGCAACGCGAAAGAACCUUACCAAANUCUNGACAUCCUCUGACCCCUCUAGAGAUANAGGU
rnacentral:rRNA from 1 species